rnacentral:misc_RNA from 1 species
GAUGAAGAACGCAGUGAAAUGCGAUAAGUAUGUGAAUUGCAGAAUUCAGUGAAUCAUCGAAUCUUUGAACGCACAUUGCGCCCAUUAGUAUUCUAGUGGGCAUGCCUGUUCGAGCGUCAUUAAGUCCACUUAAGCCCUGCUUAGUGUUGGGAGACUGCUCCAGCGGUGCUACCCUGUAGCUACCCUGCAGCUCCUCAAAGACAGCGGCGGAGUUGUGGUAUCCUCUGAGCUUAGUAACUUGUUCUAGCUUUCGAGUACACCACUUCCCCUGCCGUAAAACCCUUAAUUUUUAAUGGUUGACCUCGGAUCAGGUAGGAAUACCCGCUGAACUUAAGCAUAUCAAUAAGCGGAGGA